rnacentral:lncRNA from 1 species
ACAUUGUGACUUGGCACCAUCAGUUUUCUCAAGCACUUUUUUCUUAUCAACAACAGAAAAAAGCGCAGUAUUCAAGUCCUGCUCUGUGUAGUGAGAAUGAUCCAGCUGCCACAGGUAGAAGGAGAUGCUUUAUCUUUCCAACAAUUAAUAAAAUCCCUAUCUGCACUAAAGGAACCCCUGAACAAGGGAUCUGUUCUGAAUCUUCUGGAAUGCACAGAGUGAGAAGUGAACUUGAAGCACGCUGGGAGAGCCUGGGGAGGAGGAAGAUAGUGCGUUGGUCCUUGAGGUUGUAUUGUUGCCUGUAUAACUAUGAUGAAUGAGGUGCCCCAGCACAGGAAUUUUAAAACAUGUCAUGGAAUAUUCUGCAUGGGAAGAAAGACGGAAAUACAAUUUUAGAUGAUGCAAGUCUCAAGUUACUUAUGACAAUUCUUAGAAUGUUUUGGGAACGUCUGGAAUAGUUGACAGUUGAGUUUUGCUUCACAUGGAGUCAUCCUGUCUUCCCAAUCAGUAAAGCAGCUGAUAACUGUUGGCCACCGUUGGGAAUAUGCAUUAAUCAGAUCAUUCAUCAACAUUUGAGGAUCCAACUGUGUUAAUGGUCACCUUUACUAACAGUAAUGUACAGCAUCAAAUAAAAUUCCUGUCCCUUAUGA